rnacentral:rRNA from 1 species
GUGAAUUGCAGAAUUCAGUGAAUCAUCGAAUCUUUGAACGCACCUUGCGCCCCUUGGCAUUCCGAGGGGCACACCCGUUUGAGUGUCGUGAAAUCUUCAAAAUCCCUCUCUUUUGAGGAUUUUUGGACUUGGAGGUUCAAUGCUCGCKUUUGCCUUUUAGAAAGCGAGCUCCUCUCAAAUGAAUCAGUGGGGUCUGCUUUGCCGGUCCUUGACGUGAUAAGRUCUUUCUACGUUUUGGAUUCGACAUCGUCCCGCUUCCAAUCGUCCCAUGGACAAAAGGAUGGUGCUCCGGUCGCGGCCGGACCCACCAAAAAAAACCUUGACCUCAAAUCGGGUGAGACUACCCGCUGAACUUAAGCAUAUCAAUAAGCGGAGGAAAAGAAACUAACAAGGAUUCCCCUAGUAACUGCGAGUGAAGCGGGAAAAGCUCAAAUUUAAAAUCUGGUGGUCUUUGGCCGUCCGAGUUGUAAUUUAGAGAAGCGUCUUCCGCGCUGGACCGUGCACAAGUCUCCUGGAACGGAGCGUCGUAGAGGGUGAGAAUCCCGUCUUUGGCAUGGACACACCAGGGCUUUUGCGAUGCGCUCUCGAAGAGUCGAGUUGUUUGGGAAUGCAGCUCAAAAUGGGUGGUGAACUCCAUCUAAAGCUAAAUAUUGGCGAGAGACCGAUAGCGAACAAGUACCGUGAGGGAAAGAUGAAAAGCACUUUGGAAAGAGAGUGAAACAGUACGUGAAAUUGUUGAAAGGGAAACGCUUGAAGUCAGUCGCGUCGUCCGAGACUCAGCCUCGCCUCGGCUUGGUGUACUUCUCGGCCCGACGGGUCAGCAUCAAUUUCGCCUCUCGGAUAAUGGCGRGGGAAAAGUGACACCAUUACGGUGUGUUAUAGUCUCUCGUCGCAUGCGAGGGUCGGGAUUGAGGAACUCAGCACGCGCCCUCGGGCGUCGGGGUUUUUGCCCACGAUACGUGCUUAGGAUGUUGGCGU